GUGUAUGUUCGGAGACAUCGUCUGUUUACAUUCACGCUUUCCUUAAGAUUUCUGUAAAUCAUCAUCUCUGUAUCGGUCGACGUCAAUGAUACCGUGGUCUAAUGCUGGGUCUGGCUGUGUGCAUUUCAACAUUCAAUCUAUUCAAGCUGACCACUCGGCAUGAAGACAACUCCCAUGCUUGCAUACAUCAAAACAUUGGAAACUGCGGUGGAGUAUCCAUGACUUGGCUUUUGUUUUGUUCAUUCCAGGUUUGAACAAGAUGUCCAGUCGAUAUCAGCCUUUCCUUCAAGGAAGCUUAUUAGUAUUUUAAUCACUUUUCUUCCUUAUCUUAUGUAUUUAUUUAUCUUAAGCCUUUAGUGUGGUCUGUGCCCAAAAAAGAGAUGCUGUUCAAAAAUCUGUAAAUUUCUAAUAACUGUAGAAUAUCAAGUCAAUGAAAGCAAGUGCACGAUGAAAGUUUGUUUACUAUUAUGUUACGUUAUUCCUCUAUUGACUUGAACAAGUAAAUUUAUUUGCAUUACUUUCUUUCGUGUUUUGGUAAGCUGUCAUUCAGGAAGAGUUCUUUAGUUGUUUAUUAGAGUUGCAAUGUUUUAACAUGGGCUGAGAUUUUAUUGAUCACUAUUCCUAUUGAAUUAAUUACUUCCAUAGUAUUCUAUAAAAAUGUGGAAACCGCUCUGUUAAGUAGUUUGUGACAAUAAGAGCAUAGCUGAAGGUUCCACAUUCUAAUUUUAUUUUGAAGUCCGAUCAAAAUAACCAGUGUGCUGUUAGUGUUCCUACUUUAAUUAGAAUCAGCUGUUGGUUAUAUUAAGUGAAUGAGGAGUAUGUUUAUGAAGUCACAGAAUUCAAAGCAAAAUAAAGUUUCUUUGAAAAUGCA